CCUAAGCUUGACAUCCCAAUGACAUCUCCUUAAUCGGAGAGUUCCCUUCGGGGACAUUGGUGACAGGUGGUGCAUGGUUGUCGUCAGCUCGUGUCGUGAGAUGUUGGGUUAAGUCCCGCAACGAGCGCAACCCUUGUCUUUAGUUGCCAUCAUUAAGUUGGGCACUCUAGAGAGACUGCCAGGGAUAACCGGGAGGAAGGUGGGGAUGACGUCAAAUCAUCAUGCCCCUUAUGCUUAGGGCUACACACGUGCUACAAUGGGUAGUACAGAGGGUUGCCAAGCCGUAAGGUGGAGCUAAUCCCUUAAAGCUACUCUCAGUUCGGAUUGUAGGCUGAAACUCGCCUACAUGAAGCUGGAGUUACUAGUAAUCGCAGAUCAGAAUGCUGCGGUGAAUGCGUUCCCGGGUCUUGUACACACCGCCCGUCACACCACGGGAGUUGGAGACGCCCGAAGCCGAUUAUCUAACCUUUUGGAAGAAGUCGUCGAAGGUGGAAUCAAUAACUGGGGUGAAGUCGUAACAAGGUAGCCGUAUCGGAAGGUGCGGCUGGAUCACCUCCUUUCUAAGGAGA
rnacentral:rRNA from 1 species